CUAGAUUCUUCCCUCGGGAACUUCCUCCUGUCUACUUCCCUGGAUUUCAGUGGUAACAUUUCCUGAAAGUUCCAUCUGGGCAGGAUGUUCGUGAGAAUUAGAUGACAUCAUGACUGUACAAAGCGUCAAAUGGAAUGCCUGGUUCCUGAAAGGCUGCCUGGUGAAAUCUACACAGCUGAUGACUUUGGGCUCUGGUUUGGACCAUGACAGGCCAUCCCUCUACUAUUGACCCUAUAACCAGGUUGGUGGCUGGAUGUCUUCUGAGCCUAUGUGUGGACAGACCCAGCCACUUCCUGUUUUAGCUGUAUCAAGAAUUACAAUUUUAUUCUUUUAAGGGAGAUACUACACUUAGCAAAUAAGAGUUAUUUUCUUAAACUACGCAGAGAAAACCAGAAAAUAUUCUCACGUAAGAACUGGCAAGUUCUUAGGCCUGAAAUACUAUUCUUCCCAAAUGAUAUUAG
ensembl:lncRNA